rnacentral:lncRNA from 1 species
UCUAAUGGAUUGUAUCACCUAUAUAUGUAGUUGUAAAAAUCCUUUUAACAUUUAUAAACUCCACAAAUUGAUUCAUUUAUAAAUUCCUUAAAUUACCUGUCCUGCUGAUGUGAUUGUGGGUCUUUAACAGUGCCGUUGAUGAACCUUAUGAUUGCCUCCAUGAAUUUUGUGCCAUCCUUCGAUCUUGUAAGCAAUUCAAGAACACGAAAAGGUAAUUGGUUUUCCAACAAGAACAGAUCCGAGUACACAAAUGUUAGCAAUUCGUUUUUAAUAGAAAAUUCGUUCGACGUACGACAACGAUCUUGGCCGUAAAGCAUAUAAACUGCUUGUAAAAUUGCGCAGCCGUCAACGAAGAACAUCCAAGCCAGUUUCUCGUUAUCGUUGCUAUAGUUCUCUAAUCCCUUUGGAUCAUAGCAUUUCUUUAAGCCAUCGAUCUCUGUCUUCAUGUUGUUGUACAAGGUAUCCUUAUCGACGCCAAUUUUUUUAACGAAAAGUGCUGCUAAUUUGAGCUUGAGCUUCUCGGAUUUAUGGAGGGUGGCAUCAUCGUGGUAGAAUGGGCCGAUUGAGAUCACUUUCGGCUUGAAAUACUUACUGAAAUCUUCGUGACGACCAAGGGUUGAUGGGACUCUUUGUAUCAAUGGUUUGGCACCGAGGUCGAUUUCGUCGCCGUCGAAAGCUUCGUCUAAUGACCGGAGAUUCACUACUUCGCCAACGCUGAGAGGGACGUCCAUAUCAAUGCUCACGGAAUCGUUGUUGUCGGUGAUUGUUUGAUCAGUGGAAACUGCUCCGACGGCGCCGCCUCCUUCCUCCGUGGAAGACAUUUUCAGGCUGAGCGGUUGGAAGUAAUAAAGAAGGUGAUUUUGUAAACUGCUUUUGGCUGAGUGAGUGAUGUUGGAGAAAAGGUGGCAAAGUGGAUAAGAUGAUGACAAAUGUUUUAUAGCUUACAUGAUAAACAUAUAUGGGAAAUACUUAAGGUGUAAUUCAAAUUUACCCUUAGUGUUUAUAUUUUUACUAUAAUUUUAAUUUUUUAAUUAAAUUUAUUUCUCUUUUGAAAGAGUCAAUGAUAAAAAAAGAAAAGAAAAGUUAAAUUAAUGUUUUUUAACAAAAAUAGUAACAAAUAUUAAAAUUGUGAAUAACAUUAUAGAACUUAAAUACUCAACGCAACUCAAGAAACUAAUGGUGGGUCUGGAUGGGCAGUGCGGUGCGGUGCGUUUAGCCUACUUUUUGUCUCAUACUACAGUGUUGCUACAGUAUCUAAUCUCACCGCCACCACUGUUUUUACACUAACCACAGGUAAACGCACCGUCCAUCCAAACUCACCCUAAGACCCUAUCAAAGGGAGAAUUUUAUAUCUACAACACUUCCUAAAUUUCAUUAGCUUAAUAAUAGCUAUUCAAUUUUUUUUUUCAUUUUUUUACUUAAAUUAUUUUUACUUACUUUAUAUUAGAUAAAUUAUUCCAAAUAUUUAAUAUUUUACAUAUAAUAAUUGCAUUUGUUAUUCUACCUAACUCAUGAAAAAUCUCAAUUUUGCAACAUCACAUGCCAACCAACCAAUUUAUUAUUCACAUUCCAACUUUCUAAAUGCAUCAAAUAUUUCAUAUUCAUGUACUAACAAAGAUCAUGCCAAGAACCCACAUGCAAAGUCAUUGUAUAGUACCACAUUUAACUCAAUCGGACUUUUACACAACUAAAGAUUACUCCAAACGUUUAUAUGCAUGUCACAAUCCUUCACUCAAAAUGAUAAAAAAAAAACUAUUAAAUUGACGAUAAAAUAGUUUAAGCUUCGACCGAUCCAACCGACGUGUUCUAGCAUAUAAUAUGUUUAGUAAGCUCAUAUGGAAACUAAAACUUACCUAGAUCAAUUGAACAUAAAAAAUUACUCAAUAAGCUAUCGAAUUAAUUUUUCCUUAGCACUUAUAUAUAUAUAAUACAUGUAACAACAUUUCAAGUCAAAAGUGUUAGAUACAAUGUUGAAUCAUAAUCCUGUCAACAUUUAAAACAUAAUCACAUAGCAAUCUAUAUACCAAAUUUCAUCAAUACCAGUUCAUUUUCAAUUCAAGAUUUAAUUCCAUUUCCAACCAUUUAAUCAUCCUCUGAUGGAACUACAGUAAAAAAGACCUAGGUACAUGGGAAUAUUUUGCUGACACUGUAACGAACUUACUCACAAAAGUUGACUUUAUAUUGGAAUUGUUCACACAAGUUAACUUUGUAAUUUAUAUAAUGUAAAAUUUAAGAUUUUUAUAUUAUGUAAAUCAAAGCUUAAUAUUGCAUAACUAAUUAGUUUUGAGUUUUCAAAAUAAUAUGGCUUUAUAAAGAUAUAGAAUUCUUGAUAUAAGUCUUAACAAGGGAAAAUUUAAGGAUAGGAAAAUUGUGGUGGAAAGGGGGUCAAUUUCUCCUAAACAGGUGGAGAGCUGGAGAAGGGUAAGAGAAGGAAGAUGGUUGAUGUGAAGGCUAAGAGUAAUUGUUAAAGGUUGCUAACAGGGAGGAUCCCUUUCUCAUGAAGAUGAUUUUUAAACACCGUGUUAAUUGUUUAUGGGCCAUCAUGUUUGACGAUAAUUUUUAAAUACUGUGUUAAUUGUAUAUAGCACAUCAUGUUUGACAAUAAAUUUUAAAGACUUUUAAACGUCGCAUUAAUUGUUUAUGGCCCAUUGCCCAUGUUGCUUUUAUUAAAUUUUGGGUAAACUAUAAGUUAAUCACUUAAUUUUUAUAAAAUUUCAUUUUGGUAAAAGAAAAUCUCAGGAUAAAACAAAAAUUAGGAUAAAUGUAAUGUUGAAAUGAAUAUAGUGGGAAUCUUUAAUGUUUAUGGCCAAACCCCACCUCUCCUAUCCUAUACUUCAUCUAUCAUAAUGAUUCUUGGCUUCUUCUACAAUUGCCUUCACAAAAUGAAGCUGACAUUUGAGGUUGUCCUUCAUUUACUUUUGUUUUCUUCCUAUGAUAUAAAUGCAAGUAGAAUAUAAAUUAUACAUUUGUAAUUCCUCAAUUAUUUGGAUUAAAUUGAAAAACAAUCUCAAUUAUUUGGAUUAGAUUGAAAAAUAAUUGACACUUGAUUUGAUUGUGAAAGAAGUUUUAGUUUAAUGAAAUGAAUGAGUUAAAUUUUAAAUUUAUAAUAUUUAACUUGAGUGUGAAUGAAUUUUUGACUUAAUUGAAAAUUGAAAAUUUUAUAAAUUUUGUUUAAAUUUAUUUUGAUUUAAUUCUCAUAUUGUAUAUUCUUAAUUAAAUUCGGAAUAUAUCAAUUUAGUCAUACAUUGUAACGAUGGAUUCGAAUUAUAGUUAAUUAUAUAUUGAAACUAAAAAUCUUAGAUUUUUAUCAACAUUUGCCGCCUCAUUUAUGGUGAAUGGUAUAUUUCCCAUUUGGUCCCCCUUUCUUUUUAUUAAUCUAUAAUUCUACUUCUACCCCCAUUCAAUUUAGCCCUUUUUCCUAAUUUCUCUUAAUUAAGCUAAAUUCACUUAAUUAAAGCCUAAUUAAACACACAACUAGCCUCACAAAUAUUCUUAAUAAAUACUUACGAACUCGGUUCACUAAGACGGAGGCCCUAUAACUCACUUUUCUAGUGCCCGUGAAUUUUGGAUCAUUACACCUUCUUCCGUGGACGACAUUUUUAGGCUGAGCGGUUCGAAGUAAUUAACAAGGUGAUUUUGUAAACUGUUUUUGGCUGAGUGAGUGAUGUUGGUGAAAAGGUGGCAAAAUGGCUACAAUGUUUCUAUAGCUUAUAAAAUGAACAUACGGAAAAUCUUUAAUUAAGAUUUAAAUGUAUAAAAGUAUAAAUUAUAAUAGUAAAAUUGUACUUUAAUCUUAUAAAUCGCAAUACUUUAAUUUAGUUAUUUAAAAAAUUAGAAAUAUAUUAGUUAAUAUAAUGAUAAAAUUACGUUUUAACUUUAUCAAAAUUUAUAACUUAAUUUCAAUCCAAAUUCUUACUUCACCCUUAUUUCUGCACUAAUAAAAGUUAUAAUCUGUGUUAAAUAUCGGAUUAGUAUAUGGAUGAUAUUAAAAAUAUAUAUAAAAAUAUAAAAUCUCUAAAAGCUUAAUCAACACACAUUCAGGUGUACGCUUUUAUUAAACUUUGAUUUUUUUAGUACGAGAUUAUCUGGAUUCUUUAAAAUAAUGUUAUGGAUAAGUUUUUGUUUAAUGUAUUGAUUGGUUUUUUUUUUCCUUUUAGAUUUGAUGAAUGAUAGAUUUUUGUUUGUGAAGUUUAUCUAUGAAUAUUUAUAUAAUUAUUAAUAAUUUUAUAUUUAAAAUUUAUUUAAUAUUUUAAAAUUUUAUCGAUAAUUUUGAAAGGAUAUAUAAAAACAAAUCGAUAUUGAUAUGUAUCAAUUUCUGUAGAAAAACGGUGCGUCCAUCAGUGCAAUACUAACUACCUUGGAUAAGAAAACAUUUAAUCCUUAAAUUUGGCAACUUUUCUCAACUUAGUCAUUAAACUUUUUUUUUAUCUACACUAGUCUUCUAACUUGACAACUUUUCUAAAUUUUGAUGCAUGUGAUGACAUCGCAUUCUGAUUUUGUAUCAUAGGGGUGUUCGAAUUUCGAUUAAAAUUGAAUUAACUGACCGAACCAAUCUAAUUCAGUUAAUCAGUCAGUUAAUCAAUCUAGUUCUAUCAGAGGUCGGUUAAAAGUUUUUUGGAAUUUCGGUUAACGGUUAAUUCGAUUCGAAAUUAGGUAAUUAACUGAAUUACCCAAACUUAAUAAAUUAGACUUGUAGGCUAGGAAGCACAGACACGGCUCAUCCCUCCUCGUACCGGUAUCGUACGUGUGUCCGACACAGACACUCGACGGACAUGCCUAGAUACGUAUGGAACAAGCUGGAAUAUGCCAAAAAUUUUUUUUUUUAUUGCCAUAUCUUGCUGUAUCCGUGUCCUUAUUUUCUAAAAAUUACCAUGUUGCUGUGUCUGUAUCAUGUCGUACCCGUAUUGCGUGUCUGUAUCCAUGCUCCAUAGCUUGUAGGUAAGGGCCGAACAAAGAAUCCAGUAAGGCAGUAGUCUAGAAUAAGGAGUUAGACCAAUUGAAUCGAGUUAAUGAAUUGAUUUUCUUUAUAUUUUUAAUAUAUCUUUAAUAUUUUUAAAAUUUUAUAUGAUUUAACCGAGUGGUUAAUCAAUAAAAAUUGAGAGUCUAAUAGAUUUAAAAAAAAAAACCUUUUUAACAUAUAUAAACUCCAAAAAAAUAUUCUUUUUUAAAUUCCUUAAAUUACCUGUCCUGCUGAUGUGAUUCUGGCUUUUUAACAGUAUUGUUGGUGAACCCUACGGUUGCCUCCAUGAACUUUUUGUCAUCGUUCGAUCUUGUAAGCAAUUCAAGAACACGAAAAGGUAAUUGGUUUUCCAACAAGAACAGAUCCGAG